rnacentral:rRNA from 1 species
GGCGCACGGGUGCGUAACGCGUGGGAACCUGCCUUUAGGUUCGGAAUAACUCAGAAGAAAUUUGAGCUAAUACCGGAUGAUGUCUUCGGACCAAAGAUUUAUCGCCUUUAGAUGGGCCCGCGUUAGAUUAGAUAGUUGGUGGGGUAAUGGCCUACCAAGUCGACGAUCUAUAGCUGGUCUGAGAGGAUGAUCAGCCACACUGGGACUGAGACACGGCCCAGACUCCUACGGGAGGCAGCAGUGGGGAAUAUUGGACAAUGGGCGAAAGCCUGAUCCAGCAAUGCCGCGUGAGUGAUGAAGGCCUUAGGGGUUGUAAAGCUCUUUUACCAGGGAUGAUAAUGACAGUCCUGGAGAAUAAGCUCCGGCUACUCCGUGCCAGCAGCCGCGGUAAUACGGAGGGAGCUAG